GAUGAACGCUGGCGGCGUGCCUAAUACAUGCAAGUCGAGCGAACAGACGAGGAGCUUACUCCUCUGACGUUAGCGGCGGACGGGUGAGUAACACGUGGAUAACCUACCUAUAAGACUGGGAUAACUUCGGGAAACCGGAGCUAAUACCGGAUAACAUGUUGAACCGCAUGGUUCAACAGUGAAAGACGGUCUUGCUGUCACUUAUAGAUGGAUCCGCGUCGCAUUAGCUAGUUGGUAAGGUAACGGCUUACCAAGGCAACGAUGCGUAGCCGACCUGAGAGGGUGGUCGGCCACACUGGAACUGAGACACGGUCCAGACUCCUACGGGAGGCAGCAGUAGGGAAUCUUCCGCAAUGGGCGAAAGCCUGACGGAGCAACGCCGCGUGAGUGAAGAAGGUCUUCGGAUCGUAAAACUCUGUUAUUAGGGAAGAACAAAUGUGUAAGUAACUAUGCACGUCUUGACGGUACCUAAUCAGAAAGCCACGGCUAACUACGUG
rnacentral:rRNA from 1 species